rnacentral:rRNA from 1 species
GAUGAACGCUGGCGGCGUGCCUAAUACAUGCAAGUCGAGCGAACGGACGAGAAGCUUGCUUCUCUGAUGUUAGCGGCGGACGGGUGAGUAACACGUGGAUAACCUACCUAUAAGACUGGGAUAACUUCGGGAAACCGGAGCUAAUACCGGAUAAUAUUUUGAACCGCAUGGUUCAAAAGUGAAAGACGGUCUUGCUGUCACUUAUAGAUGGAUCCGCGCUGCAUUAGCUAGUUGGUAAGGUAACGGCUUACCAAGGCAACGAUGCAUAGCCAACCUGAGAGGGUGAUCGGCCACACUGGAACUGAGACACGGUCCAGACUCCUACGGGAGGCAGCAGUAGGGAAUCUUCCGCAAUGGGCGAAAGCCUGACGGAGCAACGCCGCGUGAGUGAUGAAGGUCUUCGGAUCGUAAGACUCUGUUAUUAGGGAAGAACAUAUGUGUAAGUAACUGUGCACAUCUUGACGGUACCUAAUCAGAAAGCCACGGCUAACUACGUG